UAAAUUUUAAGUUUUAAAUUUUAAAUUUGAAAUUUUAAUUUUAAUUUUUAACUUAAAAUUUUUAAUUUAAAAUUUUAAAAUUAAACUUUGAAAUUUUAAAUUUUAAUUUUUAAAUUUGAAAUUUGAAAUUUGAAAUUUGAAAUUUAGAUUUAGAAAUUCAAAUUUAAAAUUUAAAAUUUUGAAAUUUUAAAUUUAUUUUUGUACAAGUUUGAAAUUUAAAAAUUAUACUUUUAAUUAAAAUUUAAAAUUUAAAUUAUUUUAAAAAUAAAAUUUAGUAAAAAUAUUAAUAUAUACAAAAUCAAAAUUUUUUUGCCAAACAGUUUUAGAAAAUCAUUUUAGAAAAAUCACUUUUUUCUAAAUUAAAUCAAACGCUCUACGGCUUUUCACCAAAAUCAAUUCUCCAAACUAAAAUCACUUUUACAGAAAUCACUUCUCCAGAAGCUAGGCCAAACAGGCCCUAUAUAUACUUUACAGUAAUCG
rnacentral:lncRNA from 1 species